rnacentral:tRNA from 1 species
GUAAAUAUAGUUUAACAAAAAUAUUAGAUUGUGAUUCUGAAGUUAGGGGUUAAAAUCCCCUUAUUUACC